ensembl:lncRNA
GAGGUUCGGCUGACCGGGGUCGGCCCCGGGGGGGAGGUUCGGCUGACCGGGGUCGGCCCCGGGGGGGAGGUUCGGCUGACCGGGGUCGGCUCCUAGUACUUUUAUAUUAACUUCAGUCUGCCUUUUGAACUUCUUUGGACUUAAACAUGGACAAGUAAGGAGUUGGAGGACAAAGCAAAAGAAGAAGGAAAAAAAUAAUUCCAGAGCCACACAGUAUUAUCAUUCUUGCUGUUAUUGUUAUAAACAUUACCAUUAUUAUUAUUACUGUGUACAGUACUAUGUGUGUUUUAUUUUCAGAAGAGGAAAUGUUGCGUGUGUUUUUCCAUGUGUGUGCGAGAGGAAAAAGCAGAUAACAGAAACGUUUAUUAUUAUUAGCAUCCCCCUGUUUUAUAUCUUGGUUUUAUACUGAGUAUAUGUCAAGUGGCUUAAAGUCCCUUGUCCGAAAGCACUUGUGUAAAAACACAUUGGCAGCCUCAAAGAGACACUAUGGCUUUAAAACUACACAGACCUGACUAUUGGAAGCACUGUACAGCUCGGCUCCAUGAGAAAACCACCAUUUAAUAUUUCUGUUGACUCGUCACUUGUGUUUUCUCUGUGUCAUAGGUAUUAGUUAGAUUCUAGUUUUGGAAAAAUAGUCUUAACAGACUGGUGUUGUUUCAGAUGCAGUAAUCAUAACUAUCUGUGUUAGAUUAAGGACAACAAUGCAGGACUACAGUAAUGGCACAUGGGCCAUAAGAUGAGGAUAUGGAGUAUUAUCAAGAGUACCAGCAUUUGGUGUAUUAUGCCAGAAAUAUCCCACACUGUAACAACAAAUCAUGUUUACAGUAAAGUUUAGAGUAAUGUACCGUUAAACAAAAGUUUCUUUGGAAUUUAUGGUAACCUUUUUUACAGUAACUUACAGGUAACUAACUGGCUGCCAGUAAGUUACCGUAAAAACAACAGGAUAUAUAUAUAUAUUUUUUUUACAGUGCACAAUGUACUUAAAACCAACAAACCUGUAAUUGUGGGUUAGUUACUGGUUCAAGUGUUAGGAUGAACAGUUGCUGGAGACUAGCCGGGUUACCUGACUGUUUCUGUAUUCACAAGACCAACCUUCACAAGACUAACCUUCACAAGACUAACCUUCAGAAGACUAGCCGGGUUACCUGACUGUUUCUGUAUUCACAAGACUAACCUUCACAAGACUAGCCGGGUUAC